rnacentral:rRNA from 1 species
CAUGAAGUCGGAAUCCGCUAAGGAGUGUGUAACAACUCACCUGCCGAAUGAACUAGCCCUGAAAAUGGAUGACGCUUAAGCCGAGUGCCGACACCAGACCGUUUUGGUAAGAAGCGACCAAAAUGAGUAGGAGGGCGUGGCGAUUUUGUUUAGAAGGGUCAGACGCAAGUCUACCUGAAACGGUCGCUAGUGCAGAUCUUGGUGGUAGUAGCAAAUAUUUAAGCGAGAUCCUUAAAGGGCGAAGCGGGGAAGGGUUCCACGCGAACAUUGAUUGGGCGUGGGUGAGUCGUUCCUAAGCCGGGUGGUAAUCGUUCUUACGAUCGGSGAAAGGGAACUUGGUUAAAAUUCCAACACACGGAUGUGGAGGCGGUGACGCAAAUUGAGGUGGAGACGUWAGCGGKGACACUGGGCAGAGUUUUCUUUUCUGUUUAACCUGWGCUGCACUCUGUGGAAUCCGAUUAUCGGGAGAAACAGGUGCUUAUGGGAAGAGCGUCGGGGGGUCCCCGGCGUCCAGUACGUCACCGAUAACCCUUGAAAAUCCAUCUGCAAUNAUAAUUUCACGCCGUGGCGUACCGAUAACCGCAGC